AGCAGUAUCCUGAGUACGGCGGGACACGUGAAAUCCCGUCGGAAUCUGGGAGGACCAUCUCCCAACCCUAAAUACUCCCUAGUGACCGAUAGUGAACCAGUACCGUGAGGGAAAGGUGAAAAGCACCCCGGGAGGGGAGUGAAAUAGAACCUGAAACCGUGUGCCUACAACAAGUUCGAGCCCGUUAAUGGGUGAGAGCGUGCCUUUUGUAGAAUGAACCGGCGAGUUACGUUAUGAUGCGAGGUUAAGUUGAAGAGACGGAGCCGUAGGGAAACCGAGUCUGAAUAGGGCGCCUUAGUAUCAUGACGUAGACCCGAAACCAUGUGACCUACCCAUGAGCAGGUUGAAGGUGCGGUAAGACGCACUGGAGGACCGAACCAGGGCACGUUGAAAAGUGCUUGGAUGACUUGUGGGUAGCGGAGAAAUUCCAAACGAACUUGGAGAUAGCUGGUUCUCUCCGAAAUAGCUUUAGGGCUAGCGUCGACAUUAGAGAUUCUUGGAGGUAGAGCACUGUUUGGGUGAGGGGUCCAUCCCGGAUUACCAAUCUCAGAUAAACUCCGAAUGCCAAUGAAUUAUGGUCGGCAGUCAGACUGCGAGUGCUAAGAUCCGUAGUCGAAAGGGAAACAGCCCAGACCACCAGCUAAGGUCCCAAAAUAAUUGUUAAGUGGAAAAGGAUGUGGGGUUGCACAGACAACUAGGAUGUUAGCUUAGAAGCAGCUAUUCAUUCAAAGAGUGCGUAAUAGCUCACUAGUCGAGUGACCCUGCGCCGAAAAUGUACCGGGGCUAAAACAAUUUACCGAAGCUGUGGAUACCUUUAUAGGUAUGGUAGGAGAGCGUUCUAUGUGUGAUGAAGGUAUACCGUGAGGAGUGCUGGAACGCAUAGAAGUGAGAAUGCCGGUAUGAGUAGCGAAAGACAGGUGAGAAUCCUGUCCACCGUAAGACUAAGGUUUCCAGGGGAAGGCUCGUCCGCCCUGGGUUAGUCGGGACCUAAGGAGAGACCGAAAGGUGUAUCCGAUGGACAACAGGUUGAUAUUCCUGUACUAGAGUAUGUAGUGAUGGAGGGACGCAGUAGGCUAACUAAAGCAGACGAUUGGAAGAGUCUGUCUAAGCAGUGAGGUGUGAUAUGAGUCAAAUGCUUAUAUCUGUAACAUUGAGCUGUGAUGGGGAGCGAAGUUUAGUAGCGAAGUUAGUGACGUCACACUGCCAAGAAAAGCUUCUAGCGUUUAAACAUACUCUACCCGUACCGCAAACCGACACAGGUAGUCGAGGCGAGUAGCCUCAGGUGAGCGAGAGAACUCUCGUUAAGGAACUCGGCAAAAUGACCCCGUAACUUCGGGAGAAGGGGUGCUGACUUUAAGUCAGCCGCAGUGAAUAGGCCCAAGCAACUGUUUAUCAAAAACACAGCUCUCUGCUAAAUCGUAAGAUGAUGUAUAGGGGGUGACGCCUGCCCGGUGCUGGAAGGUUAAGAGGAGUGCUUAGCGUAAGCGAAGGUAUGAAUUGAAGCCCCAGUAAACGGCGGCCGUAACUAUAACGGUCCUAAGGUAGCGAAAUUCCUUGUCGGGUAAGUUCCGACCCGCACGAAAGGCGUAAUGAUUUGGGCACUGUCUCAACGAGAGACUCGGUGAAAUUUUAGUACCUGUGAAGAUGCAGGUUACCCGCGACAGGACGGAAAGACCCCAUGGAGCUUUACUGCAGUUUGAUAUUGAGUGUCUGUACCACAUGUACAGGAUAGGUAGGAGUCUAAGAGAUCGGGACGCCAGUUUCGAAGGAGACGCUGUUGGGAUACUACCCUUGUGUUAUGGCCACUCUAACCCAGAUAGGUGAUCCCUAUCGGAGACAGUGUCUGACGGGCAGUUUGACUGGGGCGGUCGCCUCCUAAAAGGUAACGGAGGCGCCCAAAGG
rnacentral:rRNA from 1 species